UGGGGAAUAUUGGACAAUGGGGGCAACCCUGAUCCAGCAAUGCCGCGUGUGUGAAGAAGGUCUUCGGAUUGUAAAGCACUUUCGACGGGGACGAUGAUGACGGUACCCGUAGAAGAAGCCCCGGCUAACUUCGUGCCAGCAGCCGCGGUAAUACGAAGGGGGCUAGCGUUGCUCGGAAUGACUGGGCGUAAAGGGCGUGUAGGCGGUUUACACAGUCAGAUGUGAAAUCCCCGGGCUUAACCUGGGAGCUGCAUUUGAUACGUGUAGACUAGAGUGUGAGAGAGGGUUGUGGAAUUCCCAGUGUGGAGGUGAAAUUCGUAGAUAUUGGGAAGAACACCGGUGGCGAAGGCGGCAACCUGGCUCAUUACUGACGCUGAGGCGCGAAAGCGUGGGGAGCAAACAGGAUUAGAUACCCUGGUAGUCCACGCUGUAAACGAUGUGUGCUAGAUGUUGGGUAACU
rnacentral:rRNA from 1 species